UUACGGUCAUAUCACGUUGAAAACACCAAUUCUCGCCCGGUCACCGAAGUUAAGCAACGUCGAACCUGGUCAGUACCUAGAUAAGUGACCAGUAUUGGAAAUACCAGGUGCUGUAAG